UUCAAUUAUCUCCCACUGGAUCCCUCCCACAACACCUGGAAAUUUAGAUAAGAUUUGGCUGGGGAUACAGGCAAGCCAUAUCAGUGCAUAAAUACAUAAACAA